UACGAAGGGGGCUAGCGUUGCUCGGAAUCACUGGGCGUAAAGGGUGCGUAGGCGGGUCUUAAGUCAGGGGUGAAAUCCCGAGGCUCAACCUCGGAACUGCCUUCGAUACUGGCGAUCUUGAGUCCGGGAGAGGUGAGUGGAACUCCGAGUGUAGAGGUGAAAUUCGUAGAUAUUCGGAAGAACACCAGUGGCGAAGGCGGCUCACUGGCCCGGUACUGACGCUGAGAUACGAAAGCGUGGGGAGCAAACAGG
rnacentral:rRNA from 1 species